AUUGAAUUGGCAGAUUAGUGUGUUAAAUUUAGGUUUUAAUUAAGUAUAUAUUAUACAUUCAAUA
rnacentral:tRNA from 1 species